AUCAAUGACAAUUAGAAGCUUCCCAAUCCCAACUGGUAAAUGGUCUGAUACUUAGUCAGGAAAAAAGAGAACACGAGAAGAGCCCCUCCCUUCAAAGGUUUCAAUGAGAGUUUCAAAUAGGAUUGCGCCUUGCAAAAGCCUCGGAGCUUUCCUGAUCGCUGCUGACCUUCAGUCAGGUAGUUUAAAGUCAAUGGAAAAAACAUGACUGAAGAUACAUUGGGAGAUUAUAUAGGGUAGAACUCAAUUCCAUUUCUAAAUGUCAAAGUUGGUUGACAUUGGGAGAUUAUAUAGGAUUGCAAAA